ensembl:lncRNA
GGCAAGUCAAACUCUUUUGCCUCUUCUAAGAUGAACCAUUACAGGUAGGAGGAGAAUAUUGCUAAAUAUAGUACUAAACCUGGAUGCUGCUUUUGAGUUUGUUUCUACUCACAAGCUUAUUUUUUGCCUUGGAAACCUAAAGCUCCUGAGCGAUCAGAGUUUCAGCUUCUGUGCUGUUUCCAUUCCAUCUCCUUACUACCUUGCCUCCAAGACUAUCUUUUCGCACGAUCUUCCUUCAGAGGAUCCGUGUAUACUGGAGAGUUCCUGUCCUGAGGUAGGACACAGAAGUAGAGAAAACUACCCUACAGCUAGGGCGCUUCAAUUCUGCAGUGGUGUCAUAUGAUGGAAUAACUCCUGGAGCCAUGAGCAGGAACUGUCAGCUGAAGUACCAUUGCAGGGGUUGUUACCUGAAAGGAACCAUCCUCCAUGCAGCAGCUGUGGAUGCAGGGUAGGAAACACACUACCUUGUUUGCACCACUGGAAUAUGAACACGUCUCAAACUCAUUUACAUUUUCCUGUAAACCCAAUACUUUGGGGAAGACACCCUGGGGAAGACAGCCUGCAGUUCCCAUGUAAGAAGAAAUUGCUAUUUCAUCAUAAAUAUGUGAAAACAGGACAACUAAGCCACCUUAACAGGAUAUAUUACAGACAACAUCUUCUUUCAAGAAGUAGGUGUGUUAUACUGAAGAUUCUGCAUUUACAAUCUAUACAGCAAUCAUACACUAAUGGAAUAUAGAAGGGAAGUGUUUGGAUGUGUGUAAUUGUAUCUACUGAUUUCAUAUUUGAUCCUGAGGAAGCACUUUGGUGCUUGUAAACAGAGCUAAAUUCUUUGGAGGAGAAAGGACUGUGACCAAAUCCUAGCACAAAGCACAAGAGCUCAGGAAGGGGGAAGACACAGGAGUGAAGUUCGUCUAUGUGGCAAAAGGUAUUUUCUCUGAAACCUCUGCAGCUGGCACAUGAGAAAGAAAGAAUCUCUCUCUAUAUAUAUAUCACUCUAUCCUAGAAUCAUUCUCUGAAGGAAAACAGAAAUCAUUCUGGGGAGUGUUUGGGUAACUGUGAGUAAACUUGAUUCAAAGCUUGAAAUGAUUCCUUCUAGCUUCAGAGGACAGAGUUGGCUUUAUUUGCUGAAGCCAGAUCCUGUAAAUCUUAAUAGCCAGCGAUUCUUUAUAUGACCAAACUUUUGCAAGGGUUGAGACCUACUAUCAUAAUUAAAACUGGCAACUUUGAAAUUUUGGUAAACUAUGGACCUGCCUCUCAACCUGUCCCUGGCAUGGACUGAGAUGCCAUCUGUGGCCCUGCAACAUAACUUUAUUGGGAAAGGUAACAUUCUAGUGAAUUACCGAAAGUCUCAGGUCUAAAGCUGAAAUCAACAGAUAUGACUUCACUGAACUUUAGAAACAGCUACAGUCUAAGGUGUUUUGAGCUCAGCUUCAAAGCUGUGCCAUGAUAGCCCUGGUGAGCCCUAAACAGAAGAAGGGCUAUUUUCCCUGAGCCAUGGAAAUUCCCCUCCCAUUCCUCUUGCUUGUAAUUGUCGCACCAGCAAAGCUGGUUCUUUUGGCCUGGUUUAUUUCCCCUGGAAAGUUUUUCUAAUAUACUGAUACAAAAAUGCCUUAAGAACAACUGUACCUUGUUAGACCAAGGGUACUUCCAACUCAACAUCUUCUCUUCAGCAGUAACCGAGAGCAAGUAUAAACUGCCACUACCCUAGAGCGCUUCUCUUCCUUUCCUAGCCUUUA